AAAUUGAAGAGUUUGAUCAUGGCUCAGAUUGAACGCUGGCGGCAGGCCUAACACAUGCAAGUCGAGCGGUAGCACAGAGAGCUUGCUCUCGGGUGACGAGCGGCGGACGGGUGAGUAAUGUCUGGGAAACUGCCUGAUGGAGGGGGAUAACUACUGGAAACGGUAGCUAAUACCGCAUAAUGUCGAAAGACCAAAGUGGGGGACCUUCGGGCCUCAUGCCAUCAGAUGUGCCCAGAUGGGAUUAGCUAGUAGGUGGGGUAACGGCUCACCUAGGCGACGAUCCCUAGCUGGUCUGAGAGGAUGACCAGCCACACUGGAACUGAGACACGGUCCAGACUCCUACGGGAGGCAGCAGUGGGGAAUAUUGCACAAUGGGCGCAAGCCUGAUGCAGCCAUGCCGCGUGUGUGAAGAAGGCCUUCGGGUUGUAAAGCACUUUCAGCGGGGAGGAAGGCGGUGAGGUUAAUAACCUCAUCGAUUGACGUUACCCGCAGAAGAAGCACCGGCUAACUCCGUGCCAGCAGCCGCGGUAAUACGGAGGGUGCAAGCGUUAAUCGGAAUUACUGGGCGUAAAGCGCACGCAGGCGGUCUGUCAAGUCGGAUGUGAAAUCCCCGGGCUUAACCUGGGAACUGCAUUCGAAACUGGCAGGCUAGAGUCUUGUAGAGGGGGGUAGAAUUCCAGGUGUAGCGGUGAAAUGCGUAGAGAUCUGGAGGAAUACCGGUGGCGAAGGCGGCCCCCUGGACAAAGACUGACGCUCAGGUGCGAAAGCGUGGGGAGCAAACAGGAUUAGAUACCCUGGUAGUCCACGCCGUAAACGAUGUCGAUUUGGAGGUUGUGCCCUUGAGGCGUGGCUUCCGGAGCUAACGCGUUAAAUCGACCGCCUGGGGAGUACGGCCGCAAGGUUAAAACUCAAAUGAAUUGACGGGGGCCCGCACAAGCGGUGGAGCAUGUGGUUUAAUUCGAUGCAACGCGAAGAACCUUACCUGGUCUUGACAUCCACAGAACUUAGCAGAGAUGCUUUGGUGCCUUCGGGAACUGUGAGACAGGUGCUGCAUGGCUGUCGUCAGCUCGUGUUGUGAAAUGUUGGGUUAAGUCCCGCAACGAGCGCAACCCUUAUCCUUUGUUGCCAGCGGUUAGGCCGGGAACUCAAAGGAGACUGCCAGUGAUAAACUGGAGGAAGGUGGGGAUGACGUCAAGUCAUCAUGGCCCUUACGACCAGGGCUACACACGUGCUACAAUGGCAUAUACAAAGAGAAGCGACCUCGCGAGAGCAAGCGGACCUCAUAAAGUAUGUCGUAGUCCGGAUUGGAGUCUGCAACUCGACUCCAUGAAGUCGGAAUCGCUAGUAAUCGUAGAUCAGAAUGCUACGGUGAAUACGUUCCCGGGCCUUGUACACACCGCCCGUCACACCAUGGGAGUGGGUUGCAAAAGAAGUAGGUAGCUUAACCUUCGGGAGGGCGCUUACCACUUUGUGAUUCAUGACUGGGGUGAAGUCGUAACAAGGUAACCGUAGGGGAACCUGCGGUUGGAUCACCUCCUUA
rnacentral:rRNA from 1 species